AACGAGCGCUGGCGGCAUGCCUAACACAUGCAAGUCGAACGAGACCUUCGGGUCUAGUGGCGCACGGGUGCGUAACGCGUGGGAACCUGCCCUUAGGUUCGGAAUAACUCCCCGAAAGGGGUGCUAAUACCGGAUAAUGUCUUCGGACCAAAGAUUUAUCGCCUUUGGAUGGGCCCGCGUUGGAUUAGCUAGUUGGUAGGGUAAAAGCCUACCAAGGCGACGAUCCAUAGCUGGUCUGAGAGGAUGAUCAGCCACACUGGGACUGAGACACGGCCCAGACUCCUACGGGAAGCAGCAGUGGGGAAUAUUGGACAAUGGGCGAAAGCCUGAUCCAGCAAUGUCGCGUGAGUGAUGAAGGCCUUAGGGUUGUAAAGCUCUUUUACCCGGGAUGAUAAUGACAGUACCGUGAGAAUAAGCUCCGGCUAACUCCGUG
rnacentral:rRNA from 1 species